UUUAUUCUCUAGCACACCACUUUAAGAUGUGUGUGGGAUAUUCUAAGUAUGGUGAAGUAUGCAUGGAGGUUAUGAGUGGUCAAUAAGAAAUCGAUCAUUUCUUAUAGGAGGAGAAAACAUCCUAUGUGAUCUCAUAGGAUGAUGACUCUGAAAGUUUGAUCAGAGCUGGGAUGAAUAGUAGAAAAUAUUUUUUUUGAUUCAUCAACUGAGUCAUCAUCAUC
rnacentral:lncRNA from 1 species